ensembl:lncRNA
AUGAUAAAGUCCCAAAUGCAGGGUCACUGCCCAGGUACCCCUGAACAAUCAUUCAGAGGCAUGCACCUCCAAACCCGCUUGCCUACUUCCUUCUUCUGCCUCUCUGGAUUUAUAGCUUCACUUGCAGAGUCUGAAGCAAAGAGCAAUGAGAUGAGCAAUUGUAAUGCCUUUUCUGUGACAGAACAGACCAGCCAUCUGCCCAGCACAGUCUCUGCAAUGCUGUGUUCACCAACACGUUGCACAAGAUUGCAGCUGUUUUUUCCACCUGUUUUUCUUCUGAGAAUUAGCAUCUUAAACCAUAAACAUGCAGGAAACUGUUGUGAGUCACACAAAACAUGUUUGUAAAAGCAAAUGUUCCAUCCUGCUUGUGCAGGAAAAGAUGUGUGAAAGAGGACUCCCUGAUGGUUCAGGUGUUUAUUUUUAAACCUGAUACAGAUGUGUCCAAACCAUCGGGACCUUAGUUAGGAUACUGAAAUAUCCAAAUCACCUGUGAAUAAGAAGCAGGGUAAGCUCCAAGCUUCCAGACAGCACAAGAAAUAUCAAACAGUCAAACCCGAGGGUAAGGAGUUGGGGCUGGUCCAGCCCUAUCCUGGGAAGGGCAGUAAAAGGUGUGGAGCUAGGCAGACUGGCAGGGUUUGGGCUUGGAGAUUGGGUACCCGAGGAGAGAGUGAGAUGGGACUGCUGCUGCUUGAAUAGUCAGCUGCUUCUUGGCAAUGCUGCCCUGCAUGUCUGACUCCACCCUGCAAUACAGGAACAGCUCUCACUUUCCAAGGCUCUGGCACAGGCAAAGCGGGCAACAGAACCACAACUAUGCUGCUGUUCCCAAAAAUCUGCUGCCAGAGGCAAGUGCCUGCUGUGUCUUUGCCUGGAGAAAGCCCUUGAGGAAAAUGUAACUCGCAGUAAAUCCAAGAUACUGUGGCUAGGAGUCUUCUAGUGCCUGCAGCAGCACACUUGGAGCUGUUUGAGGGAUCUCCAUCGCACAGCACACGACAGUGCUGUUGUAACAGCCGCCCCUUGUUCGGUGGUGGACAGUGCCAGUACUUCACUGGAGCCCUGGAGCACUACAUUCAGAGUCUGUAUAUUUACAGUUCUCAGGAACCUGCAGUUCCCUCCAAGUGCAAAAUUCAUGUUAUUCUAUGUUAUUCUACAGUAUCAGCGCUAAAAGACAUUAGUGCCCUUCCAUCCCUUUUACAGCAACAUCCAGUCUUUUCUAUUUUCUAAAUAACCUUAUAUUGAUGAUUUUCUUUACAAAGUUAGCUGGUACAAAAAGACAAAAUACAGACCAAAAUAAGAAUACUCCCAUCAGGUUUUGCAUUAUGAGUAAAGAAGGUUGGUCCAUGUUUUACAGGAGGGGAUUUGAGAAGGAAAGUUACAUCGUGUGCAGGCUAAGGGAGAGCUUUUUCAAAGGGCAGGAUGGGAAAUGAGGCACUGGGAGAGAGAUAAUGGCAAAUGAGAAAUGGAAUUAGCAGAGCCCAGGCAGUGCAGAGGAGUGACGAGUGAUGAGUCGCCCUGGCAGGAGAAGCAAAGCCUUAUGGCUUUGAAAGCCAUGCAGAAGAAAAUUUGGGCUCAAGGAUCUGGGCUCUGAUAGUGUGUGUGGAGAGAGUGGAAAGGACAGGCAGGAUAUAUGAGCACUGCACCUGAGGAGAUCUAUUGUUCCAAAGGUUUAGCAGAUCACAGGCAACACCAGCAUAUAUUCAGCUCUUGUAAUAAAACAUGUAUGUGUUUGUGUGUUUGCA